CUCCUGAGCCAUGAGAACUGCAGCAGAUACUGGUCUGCGGCUGAAGAAAACCUUGGGGAAGAGCGGAUGAGUGAACUGGAGAAGGCCAGUAUUUAGGGAUCAGGACAAAGAUGAGCAUUAAGCAAAGAAGCCUACAGGGGAGAGGGGAGAAGCUGAGACAAUCGGGAGAAUGUGGAGUCACAGAAUCAAGCACCAGGGGAGGUGGUUCCUGGCCUCAGCAAGAUGUGGAUGACAGCAGAUAGCCAGCUGUGUGCUUCCUGGGAUUCACCCAGCCCAGGGCUGAAAGGAAGGGCAAGAUAACAGAGGAUGGAUCCAGUAAGAGGCCCACAGUGCAGAGCCAAGACAGAUUCCUGAUACUGAAGUUGGCUGAACAAAACUAUAUACAACUGAGCCUCGAGACCUUUGUAUACCCAAUGCAAGGCAAAAGAUCCUUCCAGACCAAGUAGCUGCAUCUGAUGAUGUUCCAUGAAAUGUGGAGGGCUGCUUGGAGUGACACAUUGCUGGCAGCUGAUUGUCCCUGGAAGAGAUAAAAGGAGAGCAAGAAGACAGUGUUUUGUAAGAGCUCCCGCCACUUCAGAACCAAGCCACUUUUGUUUCCAAUUCUCAGAAGAACAAAAGAACGGGAAUAGUGGUUUUCUAAAGGUAAAGAUCCUCACACCGUGUGUGCUUGUCAGGUGUCUGAUAAUUUCUAGCAUGUGUACAUGGCUUUGCAAUUUGCAAAGUGUUUUCCAUCUGGUCUCAGUCUCACAACAAGUCUUGGGAGAAGAUAAACCCAUUGAUGAGCAAGAAGUCCUUGAAGCUUAAA